rnacentral:rRNA from 1 species
GACGAACGCUGGCGGCGUGCUUAACACAUGCAAGUCGAACGGAAAGGCCCUGCUUUUGUGGGGUGCUCGAGUGGCGAACGGGUGAGUAACACGUGAGUCACCUGCCCUUGACUUUGGGAUAACUUCAGGAAACUGGGGCUAAUACCGGAUAGGAGCUCCUGCUGCAUGGUGGGGGUUGGAAAGUUUCGGCGGUUGGGGAUGGACUCGCGGCUUAUCAGCUUGUUGGUGGGGUAGUGGCUUACCAAGGCUUUGACGGGUAGCCGGCCUGGGAGGGUGACCGGCCACAUUGGGACUGCGAUACGGCCCAGACUCCUACGGGAGGCAGCAGUGGGGAAUAUUGCACAAUGGGCGGAAGCCUGAUGCAGCAGCGCCGCGUGCGGGAUGACGGCCUUCGGGUUGUAAACCGCUUUCGCCUGUGACGAAGCGUGAGUGACGGUAAUGGGUAAAGAAGCACCGGCUAACUACGUG